rnacentral:piRNA from 1 species
UGAGAUAAGUUUGAUUUUUAGGGAACAUGC